rnacentral:rRNA from 1 species
GUGGCGCACGGGUGCGUAACACGUAUGUAACCUACCCAUAUCAGGGGGAUAGCCUCUCGAAAGAGAGAUUAAGCCCGCAUAAAAUCACACUGUGGCAUCACAGAAUGAUCAAAUAUUUAUAGGAUAUGGAUGGGCAUGCGGAACAUUAGCUAGUUGGUGUGGUAACGGCAUACCAAGGCUACGAUGUUUAGGGGAUCUGAGAGGAUGACCCCCCACACUGGUACUGAGACACGGACCAGACUCCUACGGGAGGCAGCAGUAAGGAAUAUUGGUCAAUGGGCGGAAGCCUGAACCAGCCAUGCCGCGUGCAGGAAGACGGCCCUACGGGUUGUAAACUGCUUUUGCAGGGGAAUAAACCUUCGUAUGUAUACGAAGCUGAAUGUACCUUGAGAAUAAGGAUCGGCUAACUCCGUGCCAGCAGCCGCGGUAAUACGGAGGAUCCAAGCGUUAUCCGGAUUUAUUGGGUUUAAAGGGUGCGUAGGCGGCUUAUUAAGUCAGGCGUGAAAGACGGCAGCUCAACUGUCGCAGUGCC